rnacentral:lncRNA from 1 species
UACAGAAUGUACAAGAAAAACUGUCUCCAUGGUAGGAAUUUUUGUUCUAAUCAGUCCAUGGAAAGAAAAAGCUAUUAUUGAACUUCCCAGGAAUCUCCCAGGCUGAGAAGUCUACACAAUAUUCAGGCUCUGCCCUGCCCUGCGCAGAGCAGGAAGAGUGCAGGGAGGAUUCGUGAGAUGCCAGUUCUGAUAACUUUCAGAUGUGGAGG